rnacentral:rRNA from 1 species
UGCGUAGGCGGAAUAUUAAGUCAGUGGUGAAAUCCUGCGGCUCAACCGUAGAACUGCCAUUGAUACUGAUAUUCUUGAAUGUAGUUGAGGUAGGCGGAAUGUGUAAUGUAGCGGUGAAAUGCUUAGAUAUUACACAGAACACCGAUUGUGAAGGCAGCUUACUAAACUAUGAUUGACGCUGAGGCACGAAAGCGUGGGGAGCGAACAGGAUUAGAUACCCUGGUAGUCC